AUUGAACGCUGGCGGCAGGCCUAACACAUGCAAGUCGAGCGGAUGAAGGGAGCUUGCUCCCUGAUUCAGCGGCGGACGGGUGAGUAAUGCCUAGGAAUCUGCCUGGUAGUGGGGGACAACGUUUCGAAAGGAACGCUAAUACCGCAUACGUCCUACGGGAGAAAGCAGGGGACCUUCGGGCCUUGCGCUAUCAGAUGAGCCUAGGUCGGAUUAGCUAGUUGGUGAGGUAAUGGCUCACCAAGGCGACGAUCCGUAACUGGUCUGAGAGGAUGAUCAGGCACACUGGAACUGCGACACGGUCCAGACUCCUACGGGAGGCAGCAGUGGGGAAUAUUGGACAAUGGGCGAAAGCCUGAUCCAGCCAUGCCGCGUGUGUGAAGAAGGUCUUCGGAUUGUAAAGCACUUUAAGUUGGGAGGAAGGGUUGCUGAUUAAUACUCUGCAAUUUUGACGUUACCGACAGAAUAAGCACCGGCUAACUCUGUGCCAGCCGCCGCGGUAA
rnacentral:rRNA from 1 species